rnacentral:rRNA from 1 species
GGUGAACGCUGACAGAAUGCUUAACACAUGCAAGUCUUUGGCGAAGCUGUGCUCGCACAGCCUAGCCAAGGCGGACGGGUGAGUAACGCGUAAGGAACUUGCCCUGCAGUCAGGGAUAACAGACGGAAACGACUGAUAAGACCUGGUAAAGUCAGGCGGACUCAUGUCCAGCCUGAUGAAAAGAGAUGCUGCAGGAGAGCCUUGCGUCCUAUUAGCUUGUUGGUGGGGUAACGGCCCACCAAGGCGAUGAUAGGUAGCCGGCCUGAGAGGGUGGACGGCCACAAGGGGACUGAGGUACGGCCCUUACUCCUACGGGAGGCAGCAGUGGGGAAUAUUGGACAAUGGGGGCAACCCUGAUCCAGCAAUUCUGUGUGCACGAUGAAGGUUUUCGGAUUGUAAAGUGCUUUCAGCAGGGAAGAAAAAAAUGACGGUACCUGCAGAAGAAGCGACGGCUAAAUACGUG